CAGGUACUCAAGAUGAUUCAGUAGUCUCAACAUGGAUCAGCUCAGAUCCCAGCAGUUAAGCGUGAUAGCGGGGGACACUGUCUUCGUACCUGGAACGCCGGAAGAACCCGCACUGCGCAGAGAAGGAAAAAAACAGUUCAGGUCCAAGUUGCUGCUAAAGUCCUACAGCUGUAGAGACAGUAAAUUCUUCCUUCACACAAAUAUGCAGAUUCAUUUGAAUUUAGAAUUGGUAUAAGAUCUGGAAGUGCGCUCUCUUUUCUCCUGGAUGAUGACUCCAGGCCAGCAAUUUUAACAUUGACUGAUAUUGGAAUGGGACGUAGCUUAUCUUUAAUUUUUUCCUGUUAAAACAUUUUAAAUUGCAUAGUUAGUGUACAGUGCAGAGAAGAAAGAAACAACACAAAGAUGAGCUUUUGAAACUGUAUAUAAAUUCAACACUUUCUGAACAUGCAGGAACACAAAGAG